UCAGGGCACUAGGUCUCCUGUCAGAUUGCCCUGACCAUUUUUAUUUUCUGAAACUGAACUUCCUGAAUGGGCUGUUGUGAAGCAUUUUGCAAAAAAGACAUCCCAAUUUCUGGCACAAAGGUGCUGCAGUUCACCUCUACCCUUCCUUAGAAAGUUCUUCUUGAUGCCCUGCAGACAGAGCUGGAGAAGCAAUGGGACCUUCCUUGAGCUGCUGCUCUUGCUGCCUUACAGAAGGCAGUCUUGACAAAGAUAAUGUUAAGGACUCUUCAAGAUACCAGAGUUGAAAAUGGAUGUCAUGAUUAUUUUGGAGAAGACUAACUGUUGUUGAUAGACUAUUUAAACAGCCUGGUUAGGAGGCAAAUGCACAGGCACCUUUACCUCCUCCAUAAGCUCCUUUCUCUGAACAGAAAGAUUCAAUAUAUUUGUUAUUUUCUAUACGCUUUUAAGGUUCAGAAGCACUACAACUGAGAUCUAAUGUUUGUUUUUUCACUCUACUCAAUAUUAAGUCCAGUCCAGUUCAGGAAAGUCCUUAUUUUUUAAGAAACAACUUCUAAAAUAUCUUUGAAGGGCACCUGCAAAGAGUCAGAAUGGAAACAAGGAUGUCUGGAGUCAUGUUGUCAUGAUGGCUCGCUUUCACACUGGCAUACUGAGGAAUGCAUUCUGGGUCAGUGAGAUUGCUGAAAAUACAGGGUACAGAAGGCUUUCUGAGCAUAAUGAAACUGGCUUAUUUGCAGUAACUAUUUUCCCAAAAAUACAUUCAUUAAAAUGAAGUGGCUGAGUAAGACUGUGAUUCAAAAGUAAUUUAAUAUGCAUGGUUAUCACAACCCACACUGUAAAACAUUUAGUAUAAGAAUAUAGUGAAAUGACACUUGACCAUCAAUAAAAAUAAGAUCAAAGUCUGUGUCACAUGCUCACUCCUUCAGUCUAAAAUUAAGUUAUAAGCACUUUCCUUAACAAACAGCAACCUUCACUGGCUUUAGUGAUCAAUUUAUAAGAAAUCAGUUAUUUUGAGAAAAGAAAGAAAAAAGUCAAAUUAAAUGUGAAGCCUUUGUAAGCUUCUGAUGCAUGGUACUUUGUAGUUGGAGUCUGUACCAUUAAUGUUUAUUUCUUUAUAAUAUUCUUUUAAAAAUAUAAUAAUUUCAAAAGUUUUGUUUCCUUCUGUGUCCUUUUAGUUUUAGAUGUCUAAGUAUAUCAGAAUGUUAUUAUAUCCAUAAUAGUCACCCUGAAAUGUCCAUAUAUUUUAAGAGGUAAUUCCUACCUUGUUUUAGGAGACAAAAUGAGCAUAGUCAGAUACACAUAAAUCAAGAAAAUACAAACUUAUCUUCAUCUUUUGUAGAGGGUGAGAGACAUAACAUAUGACAUAAACACCAAAUACUGUGCUAUAUAUUUAUCUAUAUUAGUGAUGGACAAGAUCUGUUGUGGAUAAGAAAAUUAAUAACACUGAAUGAGAUCAGUAGGCAUAAAAGGGGAAGGGUGUGCAAUAGCAUGGUAUGUCAGAAAUGUUAGAAAAAAUAAGAGCGGAAGAGUAGAGGAUAUAAUUCUGUACAAAACUGUUUCUGGAAGUAUGAGAAGAGAUCUUGUCUGGAUUAUAUUAUAGCUCAUCAGUAGGCUUUUGUGGUCAGACUGAGACAUAGAAAAGUAAAAUUAUGUCAAUGAGAAACAUGAAAACUACGGAGAAUUUGGUCACUAUAGACCAUUGCAGACUCCCAUAAUUGCCUGUCCUUGCUAAUACCAGUAAGUUCCAGCUACUCUGCUUUUGUCAUCCAAGAGUCAACAGAGCAACAAGAGCUGAUUGUCUUGAGCUUAUUUCCAGCAAUGUAUUACCGAAGUUCAUAUGGAAAACAGACUGCAUGUUCAUGAGUUUAUUCAGUUUAAAUUAAAUGGAAGGAUAAACAAAAAUAGGUCUUUAACUAAAGACUUUAAUUUUGGAAAAGGAAGACUUUGAAAGAUUAAGAAAACUAAUUAGUGAAGUCAAAUGAAAUGAAGAGCUACUGGAUUUCAAUAUAGACAAGACUUGGAAUGUAGAGGAGGUUGACCUCAAGUGCAUACAAGACCUUUGAACAAAUUUUGAAAGAAAGAAUAAUUAGGGACAUGGUAGUUAAGUGAGAAAUGCACCAUGGGUUGACUAAGGUUGAUCAUGCUAAGGUUGUCUCUUUCUUUAUGAGAUGACUAAUUUUCUGAAAUAAUAAUAAUAAAUAAUAAUAAAGAAAAUAGCUUUCUACAAACAAAGAAAAUUUAAUUUGUCAGGAUUUCAGAAGAGCAUUUAAAAUGGUAUCACAUAAGAAAUUAUUAAGUAAACCUUAGAAAAUGAGGAUUAAUAAAAGAAAUGUGGGUUAGUAGACCAUAAAAGACUCUAGGUAACAAUAGCAGGCUUUGUUAAAAGGACACUAUUGACCGAAAAGGGAUGUUUUUAAUACAGCUAACAUGUAUCAUUAUUCAGACAAACUGUGUUCAAUAUUUUCUUUAAUGAUGUUAGUGUAAAGUACAGAAGAUAGAUGAAUUUUUAGUACAAAUAGUGAAUAAAAUAUCAUAAAAGUGUAUGAGUGAGAUGGAACAUAACGUUAUCUAAUAAAAAAUAUAACAUUGCUUUUGACUAAAUAUUUCUGGUAUAAUUGAGAAGCUAAUCAGCUUGAAACAUUAGAGGACAGAAAACAGCAUGGACGAGUUAAAUUGGUGAGACCAUGUCAGGAAUUUUAUGCACAGUGGUGGUCAUGAAUAUUUAACAAGAUAAAUUUGAACUGUGUUAGGAACAGAGAAGGAUAUCCUGCUACUGGAUGUGUUAGGAAACUAUUUUAUGGGGGAAAGAAAAAAAAUAGUGAGAGAGAAAAAAAAUCUUGAAACAAAGAAAAAAUGAAGUGUUGAUAAAUGAUCACUUUGUUUCAAGGUGCAAACUCAAAGGUGAUAAAAGAGAUACUUCACUGAAAGAACAAUCUUGGCACAAGAG